rnacentral:lncRNA from 1 species
UCGGAAAACUCUAUCAUUUAGUGUUACAUUAAACUUGAUUAAUUAAAUAACAAUAGUUAGAGAAAAACAUCAAAAAGAAAAACACAAUAGAAAAAUCUAAUCCUCGAAAAAACAUUCCUUAAAUUAAUACGAAAUUAAAUUUGAGCCGUCUGAUCAUCCUAUAGACUUGUAAUACAAUUAGGGACACACAGCAACAACAAACAAUGACAACAGGUACGGAGCUAUCAUCGUCAUGUAUGGAGCUUUUAUCGUCAUCGUGCCACAUUAACGUAAAAGUACAAGAAAAUAGAUUGUCUUCGGCACUUAGUGACGAAUCAAACACUUCACGAAUUCCCAUCGUCUCGCAUCCACUAUUUUCUAUGAUCUUCGCAUCUUUCGACUGAUGCCGCCAACACUUGCAGAGAGAGUUCCGGUCCGCUUGCCUGCCAAUAUACUGUCUUCGAAAGCCAAGUCAAACAAUAAUGAACAAUAAUAACACAUCACAAACAUAAGUACAUCAGAAACAUAAGUACGUACGUCGAGAAAUUGUGUUCGUCGAGUCGAAUCUAUCGGACCACUUUGAAAAAUUGUGACAAACUUAGGACGGCAUAUCGAAAAACAAUAAUCGAAAAGACACCAGCUAGAAUCGGUCCAGACCCGCACGUCCAGAUUGGGAGCUGCGGAUGAGAAGAUAGCUUUAUCUUGGUCAGCUUAUAAUGAUGAAGCCUAAGUGCCAGAGUCUCUAACAGCGGCGCAUUAGUAAUCUGGAUUAUUUUAUUCAAGCCAGUAAAACAGGUCGCAAUUUCUAGAGAUUUCAAGUUCUUAAAUAGACCGAUUGUUAUCGAACCUUCCAAACUAUAAAGACUUGUGUAUAGCAAACUCAGUGAUUCGAGAUUAGGAAGAUGAUCAGCCCAGACGGAGCUGCCAAAAUAUGGGUAUACCUCGCAGCGUCUGAGCUUCAGGAUUCGAGUGCGGCCGCAAUUUCUGAGCAGCUUUUCAGGCGGACUAAUACUGUAAUAGCCAUUAAGAAUCUCAACAGAGAUCUCGAUAGGCGAGCCGCAAAUUGCAGCCAAUGACGAAGAGGAUUCCAGUAAUGAAGCUUGCUAACCGGAGUCAAGAGGAAAUUUGUUCUUCUUCGUCACGAUACUCUACGACAGGGUAAGACCGCCAGAUUUGACGGUACCAUAUUCUCGACAGGACGCAAGUUCUCGCCGGGGGAGGAUGUCAUGGAUGAUCUCCGAAUGAAGUAUUGACAAGCGGUCCCCUGUCAUUAUCACUGUUCAAUUUCUUCUUCCUAUGCUUCUGGUUUCUUUAUAUUUGCACUCUUAACUAACGCUCGAAUUGUUAGCCGUUGUAUUUGCUUUUGAAAUGAACACUAAUAACUAACGAACCAAAUAUCCAAUAUUAUAGAUUAAAUUACACACAUUUAGGAAAAAUAUUUAACUAAAUAUAGAUUAAACCCCUUCUAGAAGAUAAUGUGUUACAAACUUUACAAUGCAGGGGAAAUGGGGGGAAGAAUUGCAGGCAGCACACCGCAAAUGCACAACAAUCAGGUUUUUUUUUGUUUCUACUUUUUUCUUUUAGUUCCUAACUUAGCUCUCUUUCUCUAUAACUCUAUAUAUAUGGUGGGGGAAUUGACAGUAAACAAAAAUGAAAAGCCAUACCCAGAUAAGGGGAAGAAGGAACAGGGAUGCAAUGGGUUAA